GGGAAUUCUCUGAAGAGUUAGAAGAAUUCCAUUGUGAAUAACGUCCAUGACUAUACUUGUUGUUCUCUUGCAGAAAGUGCUUGAGUUGAAGGAGAUUUGCCUUCUCAUCUCCUGAUGCUGCAACAACAUGACACCUGGGGAUAAGAGAAGGGAGAGGAGGAAUAGAAGAGCAAGGAAAGAGAAGAACUGGAAGUUCACCACCAACACCUCCUCUGCUUCAGACAUGUCACAACAACUACAAACAUGAGAUCAGCAUUCUGCCGCCGCAAUGUAAUACCAGGUUAUGUUUUUGUGAGAGCUUUGGAAUACUAAUCCUGAUUGUUCAUCUCCAGCUUCAUUGUCCUGUCCACUGGUUUGUUUUCUUCAAACCCACUCCUUAUGACCAUUUGAUUGUGACUUUUUACUUUGUUUUUUUCUAUAUAUUUGUUAUGAAAUUUCUCCAUAUAACCCCUAGCAAAAAAUUCCAAUGCU